CACUGGAGUAGAAGUGAAUGUUGAAGAAGGCAAUCCACAACAGGUAGAGCAAAAUGUAGAGCAAGGAAGUAAAGAUCAGACUUCAGGCGAUAGUAUCGCCUGCUGUAUUUGUCAUGGAUGUUUUUGUUGUUGUAAACCCGAAACCGAAAACAAACGAGAAGAGACCUCGGGCUAUAGUUUCGCCUCCUGUAUUUGUCAUGGAUGUUCCUGUUAUUGCAAACCUGAAAUCGAAUACAACCGAGGAGAGGAACGCGGGAAAGCUAUAGCAUCAUCUGUUGAGAAGUAUCUGAAACA